rnacentral:rRNA from 1 species
GAGUUUGAUCAUGGCUCAGGAUGAACGCUAGCGGCAGGCUUAACACAUGCAAGUCGAGGGGUAACAUUAGUGCUUGCACUAGAUGACGACCGGCGCACGGGUGCGUAACGCGUAUAGAAUCUACCUUUUACAGGGGGAUAGCCUUUAGAAAUGAAGAUUAAUAUCCCAUAGUAUUGCGAAGUGGCAUCACUUUGUAAUUAAAGAUUUAUCGGUAAAAGAUGACUAUGCGUCCUAUUAGUUAGUUGGUAAGGUAACGGCUUACCAAGACUUCGAUAGGUAGGGGUCCUGAGAGGGAGAUCCCCCACACUGGUACUGAGACACGGACCAGACUCCUACGGGAGGCAGCAGUGAGGAAUAUUGGGCAAUGGAGGUAACUCUGACCCAGCCAUGCCGCGUGCAGGAAGACUGCCCUAUGGGUUGUAAACUGCUUUUAUACAGGAAGAAACACUGCUACGUGUAGCAGCUUGACGGUACUGUAAGAAUAAGGACCGGCUAACUCCGUGCC